rfam:Ignavibacteria bacterium RBG_16_35_7 RBG_16_scaffold_84511, whole genome shotgun sequence.
GGAGAGGUGGCCGAGUGGCUGAAGGCAACGGUUUGCUAAACCGUCGUACGGUUAACACUGUACCGCGAGUUCGAAUCUCGCCCUCUCCG